UUUCUUUAUGGACCUUGUUUUAUUAGAUUGAUGCAUAUGAAAAAGCCAGCAUUUAAUCAUUUUCUAACUAAAAUGGCAAUUUAUAUGGUUUAAACUAAUAUGUUUUCAAAAUAAGCCUAUAUCAUGGGUCAUCGUCUUCUUACUUGUUUCUUUUUGUUGUGGUUGUUACUCUUACAGGAUAAAACAUGUUGAUCUUUGAAUGCUCGCUAAUGGCCUAUUUUCCCCUCUUUUGAUGACAGAGAAUGCUGCCUUGAAAAACUGUUGCCUCUUGAGAAGAUUCAGGACUCCUGUAGUAGAGAACAAGGAGGAUGAAGAUAAAUCCUAGAAGGAGAGAUUUCCAGUCUGGCUUGUUUGACAUACAACGUCGGCAUCUUGUACAUGAACAGAUACAGUAUUUAUAUUGUCCUAGAAGUGUGAAGAUAAGCAGAUUUCAGCUUUUAACAUGAACACAUUUGUUGAGAGAGGAUAAUAGAUAUUCUACAGCUAGACAUCAAGAUUUCUGCAGAGACAUUUAAAUCCGGCUUACGGAGAAAGGUAAAGUAAAGAGGUAAAUUCCAACCAAGAAACGUUGUACUUGUGUGUUCCUCUGCUGUUGGACGAGUGUAAGUUGGUAUCACCGAGUGGAAAGUGACUCGGCGGCAUGCGGUGAAAAUAAUGAUGAUCACUCUGACCUGGUGAACAUUCUGAGUAAAUAAUCUAAAGAAAGAAGAGUUACCAGCACGAAGGUACUGAUUACAGCCUCACUUGGGCUUAAAGGAGAAUCCACUGAGCUUAUAAAGUUAGGGUGAUUCAUAGGUCAGGCAAUGUCAUUAAUUUACCUCAUGAGUUUUUCUGUGAUCUCAAACAUCAUAGUAACUAAAAUUUUAGUGACAUGGUAAUGCAAUAAUAAUUUAAGUGAAAAUCAGAAUAAAAACUACACAUAAACUAUGAAAGAGGCA
rnacentral:lncRNA from 1 species